rnacentral:rRNA from 1 species
AUACGGAGGGUGCGAGCGUUAAUCGGAAUUACUGGGCGUAAAGGGUGCGUAGGCGGCUUGAUAAGUCGGAUGUGAAAGCCCCGGGCUUAACCUGGGAAUUGCAUUCGAUACUGUCAGGCUAGAGUAUGUCAGAGGUUGGCGGAAUUCCUGGUGUAGCGGUGAAAUGCGUAGAUAUCAGGAGGAACACCAGUGGCGAAGGCGGCUAACUGGGACAAUACUGACGCUGAGGCACGCAAGCGUGGGGAGCAAACAGGAUUAGAAACCCUAGUAGUCC